CACACACACACACACAAAAUUGCAGAGGACCUGUCAACUUCGCACAGGGUAUCGCACCCCCAUUGCGACAGCCCUGAUCAGUAGUACUUGUGCCUCACUGCCUUAUUCGCUGCCUGUUCUUUCCUGUAAAUCUGACAAUGCUCAACACCAUUGGAUCAGAGCCAUGUCAAUGGUUUGGCAAUGUAAAGGUUUUUUUAUUUAUUUUUUUUUUUUAACUUGCCAAUAAAGGAGGAGAGACCACAGACCAGAGCUCUGUUCAUGAUAUGCAAACACUCAGUUGUGUUGAAAUAUAGUUAUCAUGGUAUUAUUAUCAUUACCUUGAUAUUUAUUUCAUCACUAAUAUUUAUUAUGACUAUAAGUGUUACAAUAUAUUAGUCAUGCAUAUUUGGUGUGCAUGUUGGAGUGCUUGGCUGCAUACCAGCAAAAAACUUACAGUAUAACAGUAAAAACAUUCCACAGAUCAUUACAAUGUGUGAUGAUAUGGAUCUCAGUGACUGUGCAAUUCAUUAAUAACCCAUGCAAUGAUGCUGGUAUAGCAAAACAUCAGCUAGGAAAAUAUGAAUUCUGUUAUCAUGUCCAUACUUGUUACUUCCUUUAUGUGAUUUUGGGCAUCACAAUAUGUGGUCCUUCCUUACUUACUAUGAUGCAGCCUGAGGGGUGGAGCAAAAGUUUUAUUUUGGGGUGAAUAAAUUCUCUUCCUUGGGAUAUUCAAGCUUUACUGGACAAGGAUACACAAUGGAGAUCUACAAAUCAGUUGCAUAUGUAGUUACAGUCUUGUGCAGUGUUGCAACAUCCUCUGCAAAGGGAAGUGUCCACCGUGCCAGAGAGAGCCACAAUGCAGGUUUCAAUGGACAGAUGGAAGGCAGCCAUCAUCUGCACUGGUGUGGAAAUGUGUCUUACAAGGUCUCAGGAAGUUCCUGCUGUAAUGGUAAUAUAACUCUGGGAUUAAGCCAGCUGGUGGCUGACUGCUGUGGUUCUGUAGCUUACAAUCCACUUAAUGAGAUUUGCUGUAAUGGCAGUAUUCUGACUCGAAGCAGCACUUACGCGAAAUGCUGUGGCAAAGACAUGUACUUGACAACGACUCAUGUGUGUUGUGGUAAAAACAACAUAUUUCAAUGGAAGGAAAAUCAUUCUUGUUGUGGCGAGAAAACAUAUGACGAGACAAUCCACUGCUGCUGUAGUAACCCUACACCAGUAGUAAAGCAUAAAAAUGAAACUUGCUGUCUAAAAGCAAAAGAUCAUGAUAAAAAAACAGAACACCAGCCAGGCUCUCCUCCAACUCGCCCUCUGCCCAUAUUAUCAGACUUGAUUUGUGGAUCAGAAACCUACAAUCCCCAUAAACAAAUGUGUUGCUCAGGGAAUCUGUAUAAGGCAUCAGCACUUACUAAGUGCUGUGGUGGAGAUGCUUACACUCUGUCAGAUGACAAUGUGCUGUGCUGUAAUGGAAUCCUUCAUCUCAAUGUGCCUGAGCAGUCCGAGUGUGUUGGAGGUGUUAUAUAUACUCCAGCAAACACUACUUGCCAAAUGUCGACCCGUCCUCGUCUUGGAGAGCACUGCUGUGGAGGACAAACCUUCAAUCCUCGCACGCAUAUUUGCUGUAAUGGUCACAGCCACAACAAGAUGAAUGGCCAUUUCUGCUGUGGUUCAGAAGUCUAUGACCACCACAACCAGUUCUUGAAAUGCUGCUCAGGUCAUCUCUACAACCUAACCCAUUUAAGUGGAAAAGCAGAGUGCUGUGGAAACCUAUUGCUGCAAAAUAAUAAAAAAAUUUGCUGUUCCUCCUCAACCAAUUCCAUAAUGUAUGAUACCAAACCAAACCACCAUUGCUGUGGGCAUUACUACUACAACACGUCCUUGUGGAGCUGCUGUGCUGAACGUCUCAAACCAACACCAAAGCCUAACAGCCUUCGUGCAGAAUACAGACUUAAACCACUAAGGGACCUGAUCCCUGAAAUGUGCAAUAAAACAGUGUUCUUUGGCAAAGUGGAGAGUGUGGCACUUGAAAAUGAUAUGCGUCAUGUGUUGUUGAAAGUUGUGUGGCAAGUCAACAUGAAAUCAGAAAAGGUCAUCAAAGACCCUUGGCUUCAUGUGUCCCUGGAUCACUGCAGCUUUCCUGCCACAGACAACGGCAAAACCUACCUUUGGGAGAAAAACCACAAUGGGAAGCCUGUGCUUCUCUCUCAACCUGUUGACCUAACAGCUGACAUUUACAUGUUAUAUUAUGUAUGUUACCAAAAGAAGGGAUAGAAAUAUGGAUUGAGGUCUAUUUCCCAUCAUUUCAAAGCAUGCAGAUUGUCAUAAGAUUUCUGAUCAUUUUUAUCCAUCAUUAAUGAUAAAUUACAAUGGAGACAAGUCUCUGUUACUAUACACAGCAUUACGGGAUCACAUGUUGUGCAUCUGUGCUUUUUACCUUAUUGGAUAUUUUUAUUUCAUCUCAAUAAUGGAUUGAUCCUGUUGGGAGUGAUGCAUUACUCUCAUUUAUUCAGUGAGGUAAUUUUAAGCUUUGUUAAUGUGAGAAAUGGAAAUAGAAUAAAAAAGAAAACAUUCUUUUUUUUAAAUUGAGU
ensembl:lncRNA